AGUCAUUUCCCUUCAAGUUUCUUUCCUUUUCCUUUUCCUUUGUACUUUUAUUUUUAUUUUUACUUUUAUUUUUAUCUAUAUUUACAU
rnacentral:ribozyme from 12 species